rnacentral:rRNA from 1 species
UAGGGAAUCUUCCGCAAUGGGCGAAAGCUUGACGGAGCAACGCCGCGUGAGUGAUGAAGGUCUUCGGAUCGUAAAACUCUGUUAUUAGGGAAGAACAAAUGUGUAAGUAACUAUGCACGUCUUGACGGUACCUAAUCAGAAAGCCACGGCUAACUACGUGCCAGCAGCCGCGGUAAUACGUAGGUGGCAAGCGUUAUCCGGAAUUAUUGGGCGUAAAGCGCGCGUAGGCGGUUUUUUAAGUCUGAUGUGACAGCCCACGGCUCAACCGUGGAGGGUCAUUGGAAACUGGAAAACUUGAGUGCAGAAGAGGAAAGUGGAAUUCCAUGUGUAGCGGUGAAAUGCGCAGAGAUAUGGAGGAACACCAGUGGCGAAGGCGACUUUCUGGUCUGUAACUGACGCUGAUGUGCGAAAGCGUGGGGAUCAAACAGG